ensembl:lncRNA
AUGCAGUCUUAUCUUCCCUCUAUCAAGACAUCUUUUGAUGUGCCUGCCCUAUGUUGACCUCUUUGUUUUUGUGGAUUUUGUUCUCAUUUGGACUUCAUUUCAUUGGCCAUCAAAGCCUGCUAUUUGUUGGGGCUUUCUGACUUCUGCCUCCUACAUACAAAGGUCAUAACAAGAAGAACAGAUUGUAAUGGAUCUUGUUUCCUUGAACCGAUGAAGCCAAGGGGUGUACUACGAAGUGAGACUGGUGGGUUAUUGAGCAACGUUGAGUUUAAGCUUGAGUUAAAUAUGUUUCCUUGUGUGACGUGGCAGACUGCAGAUGGGACUCACCCGCUCCAGCUGGAUGUAGAACGUCUGGUCCCAGCUCAGCCUGCUGAUGGCUGCCCAGCGCGUCCGGCCGACCACUCUGCCGUCCAGCCUGAGCACGCCACUGAUCUCUGCGAAACUGGGGUUAGUCUGCUGGACCAACCAAAGCAGUAGAAUAUGGAUGAAUGAGUAAUAAACAAUAAAUGAAUGGGUACGCCUGCACACAACUUUUUCUAGAUAUUAUUUUUGUACCUUUACAUUGAAGGUUCAAGGCUGGUUUUAAGAAGGUGCAAGGCAUAAAGGUGCUUUGUACCUUAAUGAAUAAGAAACGCCUGUCAAUGGUCCAGGAGCAGUGCCUUAGAG